rnacentral:rRNA from 1 species
GUUUAUUAAGUUGGGGGUGAAAUCUCCGGGCUCAACCCGGAGCUCGUUCUCAAAACUGGUAGACUUGAGUAAGGUAGAGGCUGACGGAAUUCUGCAAGUAGGGGUAAAAUCCGUUGAUCUGCAGAGGAACACCAAAAGCGAAGGCAGUCAGCUGGGCCUUUACUGACGCUGAGGGACGAAAGCGUGGGUAGCGAACGGGAUUAGAUACCCCGGUAGUCCACGCCGUAAAUGAUGGAUACUGGACAUUGGUACUCGAUCGUAUCAGUGUCUCAAGCUAACGCAUUAAGUAUCCCGCCUGGGGAGUACGGUCGCAAGAUUAAAACUCAAAGGAAUAGACGGGGACCCACACAAGCGGUGGAGCAUGUGGUUUAAUUCGACAAUAAGCGAGGAACCUUACCAGGGCUUGACAUCCCGAGAAUUCUUUAGAAAUAGAGAAGUGCCUUUAUGGAACUCGGUGACAGGUGCUGCAUGGUUGUCGUCAGCUCGUGCCUUGAGGUGUUCGGUUAAGUCCGUAAACGAGCGCAACCCUAGUCCUAUGUUGUAUAUUUCAUAGGAGACUGCUUUGUCCAACGAGGAGGAAGGUUAGGAUGACGUCAAAUCAGCAUGGCCUUUAUGUCGUGGGCGACACACGUGCUACAAUGGUCGGUACAAUGGGUAGCCAACCCGCGAGGGGGAGCCAAUCCCAUCAAAGCCGGUCCAAGUUCGGAUUGGAGGCUGCAACUCGCCUCCAUGAAGUUGGAAUCGCUAGUAAUCGCGCAUCAGCCAUG